rnacentral:rRNA from 1 species
AUGAACGCUGGCGGCGUGCCUAAUACAUGCAAGUCGAGCGAACAGACGAGGAGCUUGCUCCUCUGACGUUAGCGGCGGACGGGUGAGUAACACGUGGAUAACCUACCUAUAAGACUGGGAUAACUUCGGGAAACCGGAGCUAAUACCGGAUAACAUAUUGAACCGCAUGGUUCAAUAGUGAAAGACGGUUUUGCUGUCACUUAUAGAUGGAUCCGCGCCGCAUUAGCUAGUUGGUAAGGUAACGGCUUACCAAGGCAACGAUGCGUAGCCGACCUGAGAGGGUGAUCGGCCACACUGGAACUGAGACACGGUCCAGACUCCUACGGGAGGCAGCAGUAGGGAAUCUUCCGCAAUGGGCGAAAGCUUGACGGAGCAACGCCGCGUGAGUGAUGAAGGUCUUCGGAUCGUAAAACUCUGUUAUUAGGGAAGAACAAAUGUGUAAGUAACUAUGCACGUCUUGACGGUACCUAAUCAGAAAGCCACGGCUAACUACGUG